GAUGAAGAACGUAGCGAAAUGCGAUAAGUAAUGUGAAUUGCAGAAUUCAGUGAAUCAUCGAAUCUUUGAACGCACAUUGCGCCCCUUGGUAUUCCGAGGGGCAUGCCUGUUCGAGCGUCAUUAUAACCCCUCAAGCUCGGCUUGGUGUUGGGGCCUGCCGCACGGGCAGCCCUUAAAAUCAGUGGCGGUGCCAUCUGGCUCUAAGCGUAGUAAUUCUUCUCGCUAUAGAGUCCCGGUGGAUGCUUGCCAUUAACCCCCAAUUUCAAUGGUUGACCUCGGAUCAGGUAGGGAUACCCGCUGAACUUAAGCAUAUUAAUAAGCGGAGGA
rnacentral:misc_RNA from 1 species